rnacentral:lncRNA from 1 species
UCUCUUUUUCUUUUUGCUUUUUCUCAUUUUCUGAACUUUUAUUCACUUCUUCUUCUUCUCUCACAAUCUCUUCAUUCAUUCCUCUUUCUUCUUGAUUUUCUUCUUCUACCAUCUCUUUCUCAUCAUUUUUCUUUUUACUCUCUUCUUGUUCAACUAACACUUUACCACUUCUUGUGGUAAUGACUGUCAACACCCAAUUUUGUCCGGGAAAGUAAAUAAUCAAUAUUAAAGAAAAUAAUAAUCUUCCUCAACGCAGGGCACAUCAUUUUAGAAUGUUUUUGAAAUAUUUGUUUAACAUGGUAAUAAUUUGAAUCAUAUUAUGGCAUUAAUGGUAAGCAAUAAUAACAAAUAUAUUGAUAUAAUUUGCUGCAUCAGUUUAUUCCUGAAGAGAAAGAAAUAAGGUCCUUUUUUAAAUGGGCAAAUUUUCUGGCAAUUAUUAUAAUCUUUGUCACAAAUUUUAUUUGACUGCAAUCAAGACCAUUUCUUUCCUUAUUUUGCUAAUUGUCAAUUAAUUCGCCAUUAAGGCAAGAUCACAUUAAUAUUACAAUAUGUGCCUAUAAAUACACACUCUGUGGAAGGGAAAAAGGGUACUGAAAAAAAUAGAGGAAAAAACCUAGAGAUUAUAGAAUUUGAAAGAAAGAGUAGAGAAAAAUAGGUUCUCACACCUAAGGGUUCUAUCAACAACAAUCACCUGAGAAAGCACUAAGGAAGUUCCACAAGCUUAAAAAGGUAUGUCACCUCUACACUCUUAUUGUUCUCUUUUUAUUAUAUUUUGAAGUUUUCUUCCAAAGAUAUUUUUUUGCGCGCAGAUAAUGUUUUCUUAAAAAUCAUUUUUUUUAAGUACGCGUUGGACUAUGGCCAUUUUCUUCUUCUUCUUUUUUUUUCUUAAAAAAAUAAGAAAUACCAAACUAUUUAAAACCUAAAAAGGUUAAUUUUUGUUAAACUAAAUCUUUUUUAUCAAAAUUACGUGAUCCCUUAUCCCCGGGGUUUUCAAAAAUAAUAAAUCAAUCCAUUUUUUUUUUAACAAACUCACAAACUUUUUUCUAGAUAAAGAACUACGUGAGC